rnacentral:rRNA from 1 species
UACGUAGGGGGCGAGCGUUCUCCGGAAUUAUUGGGCGUAAAGCGCACGCAGGCGGUUCUGUGUGUGUUGGGUGACAGCUCCUGGCUCAACCAGGAGAGGACUCAACAAACUGCAGGACUUGAGAGCGAGAGAGGGAUACGGAACUCCAGGUGGAGCAGUGACAUGCGUAGAGAUCUGGAAGAACACCAAGGCGAAGGCAGUAUCCUGGCUCGUUUCUGACGCUCAGGUGCGAAAGCGAGGGGAGC